CGGGGAAGGUGGAAGAGAGUCAAUCAUUUGCACAAAACUUAUUCAACUCAAAAUUAUAGAGUCAUACUAAACCUCCUUGAGUUGUGGAUACCUUAUGGUUAGUUUACAAUAUUCUAGGAAACGUGACAUCAAUUUGUUAUUUAUGGCUAAACCAAGAAAUCUCGCAUCAAAACCUUUUUCACGAGUCUCAUGAUCUUGCUAUUUAAACUACAGAACACAGAUAGAUGUAGAUAUAGACAACCUACAAUAAUUGGAUCAUUCGGAAAAACAGGAGUACCCAACUCAGAUGCUUGGAUAUUUGCAUAAGGUAUCUGCUACACAGAGACUUGGAAUUCUAAUUCAAAUGGGACUUUGAACUCUUGACAUAGAUUUGUUGAACUCUUGUUUCUUUUUUCUUUUCUUUUCUUUCCUUUUCUUUUCUUCUUCUUCUUCUUCUUCUUUUUGACAAGAUUGCUCACUCCAUUCAGAAACUGUGUCUGUUAAUGAGGCACCUUAUACGAUUUUUUAAUGUACUUAGAUGAUGCAUAGUUUGUUUUAAGAUUAAAAUGUGUAAGUGGUUGUUUUAAGUUAUCACAUUUGAAGGAAAAAGUCAAACUUGUGUACUAGUUGCUAUUUUCUAUGGAUUGUUUUGUUUUGUUUAUCAUCUCCUCACUUUAUGUAAUGGAUUAAGGGAGCUGUUGGUUUUAUCCUCUUUGAAUUAUCCUUUUUUGAAUUUUAAGCAUGAACUCUUGCAAAAAUUGCAUGAACCUACAGUUGCCGUCUCCUCUAAAAUUUUGGUGCACCCAUGAAUGAUAGGGCAAGGUGUUCCGUAUCCGUUACGAUACGCCUAUAAAUGCCGAUGUGUAUAGGUAACGGCCAUGACCGUUAUGCGAUACAGGAGUAAAAUGGGGUGGUUAGUUUUUUGGGACCGUAUCAGUCGUUAUGGUGGUCGUAAAGGCCAUUACGGGGCAUAAUGAUCGUUACCCCCAUAACGGUUGAAAAACAACCACUUUUUUAUAUUUAGAUCUAUUUCUCUCCUCAGCUUUUUCACUUUUCUCGUUCCAAAAAGUCUCGUAGAUCAUUUUACAACAUAUUUUGACCACUCGUACUAAAGUUUUUAAGAUUAAAACUAUAAAUUUAAGUGAUUUGAUUGAAUAGAUCUUGAAAAAAAAUGAACAAGUAGUAUUUAUGCCUUUAUUUUUUCUAGUUGUAACGCUUGAUUGUAAUGUGUAAACAUUAGAUAUAUAUAAUCAUGUUCACAAAUUCACUAGACGGCCCGAUACAACAUUCUUACCAAAGAGUGGACUGUUACACUACAAUAGACAUGUUCAAAACAAAAAAUGAAUACAUAUAUAGAAUAUUUACAUUGUUCUAGAUUUUCUACAUAUUUUUUUCAUAAUUUUUUGAUCAAAAGAACAUUUUCAACCAUUACAGGAGUCGUAACGGUCGUUAUGCCCUUGUAUCGGCCGUUAGGGCCGAUUAACGGCCGAUACCCGUAUCGGUAAUGGUGGUGACUGUUACAGCCACCGUUGCCAAUACAGAAUACCUUGAUCUAGGGUCACCUACUGAGUGUUUUAUGUGUUCAGAUGGUACAUUUUAUUGCAAAUAUUACCUUUUUUUUUAAAUUUUUCUCAGCCUAUAUACAUCUUGUGUAUGACUUUGCCUAUGAUAGAUAAUUGCAGUUCUUAUCUUGGUUUCUCAUUGAAUGUUUUAUUUAGUUGGGAAUCAUUUCGCAAAGAAUCAUGGAUUAGAUCUACACAAGGUUGUAUUCAAACAGGCUAUUGAUACAGGUCUCAAAGUCCGGUUCUGUAAAAGUGGAGAAGCUUAUGAAUGUCGAACGAUACUCCUAUGUGAUGCACAUUAGCUCGACUGUGAGGUUACGGGGGACUUGUUGGAUCAUCUAACUAGCUGGGAUGUUGGAACAUAAUCUAUUAUUGCAGUUUAAUGUAGACCAGUGUAUUUGGAAAAGUUGCACCAGUCCUCUAUCUAGACCAGUGUAUUUGGAUGUAAGCUAUUGCAGUUUGCAAUUUGUUAUUGAUUGUGCUUAAAAGAUGAACUUCAUUUCUCUGGCCUACUGAUCACAGUGCUACGAAGGGAAACAACUUUUUGAAUUUGAUUGGGCUCACAUGAUAAGAUCUUGCCUUGUAUU